UAGACCUUGAGAUAAAGCAGUGGGAGCAUAACUAUGGGCCACAGCCAGAUGGAAAGGUUAAGGCAGUGCCCUGCACUAUAGGUGGUGGCUAUGGGAGUUUGAGAGGUGGUGGCUAUCUGCGUUACUGUGGUGGUGGCUGUGGGAGUCUGAGAGGUGGUGGCUAUGGGAGUCUGAGAGGUGGUGGCUAUCUGCAUUACUAUGGUGUUGGCUGUGGGAGUCUCAGAGGUGGUGGCUAUGGGAGUUUGAGAGGUGGUGGCUAUCUGCAUUACUGUGGUGGUGGCUGUGGGAGUCUGAGAGGUGGUGGCUAUGGGAGUUUGAGAGGUGGUGGCUAUCUGCAUUACUGUGGUGUUGGCUGUGGGAGUCUGAGGGGUUUUGGCUAUGGGAGUCUGAGAGGUGGUGGCUAUCUGCAUUACUGUGGUGUUGGCUGUGGGAGUCUGAGAGGUGGUGGCUAUGGGAGUCUGAGAGGUGGUUACUAUCUGCGUUACCUUGGCAGUGGGAGUCUGAGAGGUGGUGGCUGUCUGCAUUACUGUGGUGUUGGCUAUGGGAGUCUGGGAGGUGGUGGCUAUCUGCAUUACUGUGGUGUUGGCAGUGGGAGUCUGAGGGGUUGUGGCUAUCUGCAUUACUGUGGUGAUGGCUAUGGGAGUCUGAGAGGUGGUGGCUAUGGGAGUCUGAGAGGUGGUGGCUAUCUGCAUUACUGUGGUGUUGGCAGUGGGAGUCUGAGAGGUGGUGGCUAUGGGAGUCUGAGAGGUGGUGGCUAUCUGCAUUACUGUGGUGUUGGCAGUGGGAGUCUGAGAGGUGGUGGCUAUGGGAGUCUGAGAGGUGGUGGCUAUCUGCAUUACUGUGGCGUUGGCAGUGGGAGUCUGAGAGGUGGUGGCUAUGGGAGUCUGAGAGGUGGUGGCUAUCUGCGUUACAGUGGCGUUGGCAGUGGGAGUCUGAGAGGUGGUGGCUAUCUGCGUUACUGUGGUGGUGGCUAUGGGAGUCUGAGAGGUGGGGGCUAUCUGGGUUACAGUGGUGUUGGCAGUGGGAGUCUGAGAGGUGGGGGCUAUCUGCAUUACUGUGGCGUUGGCUGUGGGAGUCUGAGGGGUGGUGGC
ensembl:lncRNA